rfam:Gossypium hirsutum cultivar TM-1 chromosome 11, whole genome shotgun sequence
AACCCAUGCCGAGGGAACCUUCUCAAUAAAUCCUUAUACCUCUCUCAUGCAUCGUAUAGGGUCUCUAAGUCCAUUUGCACAAAGGAAGAGAUAUCAUUCCUCAACUU